GGUGAACUCUUAGCGGUUAAAAUGAUUUGUAAUAAUAGGAGAUUGGAUCAAAAGCUUCAGAAACAAUUCGAAACAGAAGUCAAGAUAUUGAGCACCAUACGCCAUGCCAAUAUAGUGAAGUUGUUGUGCUGCAUAUCAAAUGAAACCUCAAGUCUUCUUGUUUACGAGUACAUGCAGAAGCAGAGUUUGGAUAGAUGGCUUCAUGGGAAGAAGCAGAGAACAUCGUCCAUGACAAGUUCAGUUCAUAACUUUGUCUUGGAUUGGCCAACAAGGUUGCAGAUUGCUAUCGGAGCUGCAAAAGGCCUAUGCCACAUGCAUGAAAACUGCUCUGCCCCGAUCAUACAUCGAGAUGUGAAGUCCAGCAACAUCUUGCUAGAUGCCGAGUUCAACGCGAAAAUUGCAGAUUUUGGAUUGGCCAAGAUGUUGGUCAAGCAAGGAGAGCCAGACACCAUGUCAGGAAUUGCAGGCUCUUACGGAUAUAUUGCCCCUGGUAAGACCAUCAAGGCCCUCCUUUCCAAAUGUUUUCAUUUCCAUAAUUUAUCGAUAAGUUGUAUCAUACCAUUCUUGUAUACUUGGAUGAUAGAGUAUGCUUAUACAACAAAGGUGAACAAGAAGAUCGAUGUAUAUAGCUUUGGAGUAGUCUUGCUUGAGCUUGUGACGGGGAGAGAACCCAACAAUGGGGACGAGCACGUGUGCCUUGCAGAAUGGGCAUGGGAUCAGUUCAGAGAAGAGAAAACCAUUGAGGAAGUGAUGGAUGAGGAGAUCAAGGAAGAAUGUGAUAGAGCACAAGUGGCCACUCUCUUCAAACUAGGCAUUAGGUGCACUAACAAAUUACCAUCCAAUAGGCCCACAAUGAAAGGGGUUUUGAAAAUUCUUCAACAGUGCAGUCCUCAAGAGGGCCAUGGAAGAAAUAAAAAGGACCAUGAAGUUGCACCUCCACUUCGAAAUGACACUUACCCCACCACUUACAAGUUGUGAGGAUAAAGCCCUUAAAAACAUGAUAUGAUGUAAUAAAUUUGGAAGUCAUUAUUUAUUUAAUGAUGUUCCGAUUUCACUUUUAUCUAUCCUUAUUCCAUAUAUUAUACUUUAUGAGCAUUCUUGCCUGCAUCUUUUGCAUUGCACGUAACUUAGGUGCAUUAAGAGUUGCACAGAAGAUCUAGGUCAUGGGUUCCUUGCAAAUAUAUGACUUGUUCACAACCAGUUCAUGGGUCUAGGAAGCCCAUUAGGGGUUGUAAUAAUCCACUUCCUAAUUGGAAGAAUGGCUAGUCUUAGCUAUUGGGAUGAGUUUCCCAUGGUAAGUGCAUUAGUGUGUAUGAUUACAUAUUGGACAUGACCUAUGGUGAAUCAUGAAUUAAGGUUAUCAAGCAGUCAUGACCUCAUCAAACUACUUCAUUAUAUUGUCUCUCAACCUUGAGAGAAUAUCGAGCUCGUACUAAAGUUAGCAAUGACUUUGACAUACGAGUGAGAUCGUAAGUUGAUCAUAUAUUCCCUAUGGAUUGAGUCAUUGUUGAUGGAAAAUGGUAGCAAUAGGUAUUUUCAAUAAAAACACCAUGAUGUCUCUUGGGAUUAAGACAAUGUGCCCCUUUUGGUGAUCCUAAAGAGGUGUGUUUAUGGAAACUAUGGUCAUAGUAGUUCCUUAAGUAAAACUCGACAUAGGCUCUUUGAGAGCUAAGACAUGUCAAUUGAAUACACAAUAGAAGGAUUUAUAACUCAAGGAUGGUAGAGGUAGUCUUGAAAGACUAAUAACUUUUACUUUGUUAGACUAUGAAUAUCAGUUCAUGGGAAGACUAAACACAAUAAAUAGCAAGUCACAAACCUGAACAUUUGGUAUCUCAUUGUUAUUUUCAAUAAAAUAACAAUGAGAUGGUAAGUUGAUCAUAUAUACCCUAUGGAUUGGGUUAUUGUUGAUGGAAGAUGGUAGCAAUAGGUAUUUUCAAUAAGCACCAUAAUAUCUCUUGGGAUUAAGAUAGUGUGCCCCCUUGGGUAAUCUUAAAAAGUGUGUUCAUGGAAACUAUGGUCAUAGUAAUUCAUUAAGUAAAACUCAACAUAGGCUCUUUGAGAGCUAAGACAUGUCAAUUGAAUACACAAUGGAGGAUUUAUAACUCAAGGAUGAUAGAGGUAGCCUUGAAAGACUAAUAACUUUCACUUUGUUAGACUACGAACAUCAGUUCAUGGGGAGACUAAACACAAUAAAUAGCAAGUCACAAGCUCGAGCAUUUGGUAUCUCGUUGUUAUUUACAUAAGAUACGGGAGUUCAAUUGAUUCUCUGUAGUGGGAUGUUGAAUCAACUUUAGAAUUGGAUUUUGAGAGAGUCGGUAUUCUUAUGGGUUCCAAUGGUCCUUGCUCUAAGCUUAUAUACUUUGUUGGCAUGGGUUAUAAGAGUCGGAUUGACUCUAGGUUCACUUUUGUACAUAAAGGCAUUUUGAUAAUUACACAAGGUUACACAAAGGUAAGUGAACAAGGUUUUUAAAUUGGGUUAAUUGAUUAAUUAGUAGGCCUUGUUUAGUUAAUUAAUCAAUUAGGACUUUUUUUGGGCUAUAUUAAGUGACCUAAGCCCUUAGUGGGCUCAAGUCACUUAAACCUAAUAGAAAACCCUUUAAAUACCCCCUUAAGGGUUAGAGUUUAUAUAGUUUUUCUAAAGAGCCAUCUUCUAUCUCUAGAGAGAAAGAGAAAGAGUCAUAGCGUCCACCCUCCCUUCUAUCUCCACUAAAAGUGUGUCAAGAUCAAGGUUCAAGUCAUUGGGAGGAAGACUUUGGAUUUACGAGACUUCUGUGAUUUCGUUCUUCAUUUUCACCACGUGGAUUUGAUUUGAGAACAUACGAAUUUGAGGUAUGGUUUUCAUUAGCACUUUCUGAAUCCCUUUAAAGUUUAAAAAUGUUAUUUUUCCGUUGUGUAUAGGAUUAAUUUAGAAAAUGCUUAGAAUAGUUAUGCAUGUUCGUAACCUGAUCUGAGCUUAGGAAAUGGAGAGAUCCUAGUUUUUUCCCUCAAUGUUUGUGCUCCAAAGUGUUGAGAUAGUUUAGAGGGUGACAUGAUGAUUAACAUAAUACCUUAUAUGGAGAACCUAGUGAAUCCCUUCUCCAAGACAUUGAUAGGGAGAGUCUUUGCUAGUCACAUGGAUAGCAUAGGUUUCAGAUGAGUAUUUGGCAUGCUUUAAAGGCAUGAUACUUUGAGGGCUAAUAGGAGAAUGUUAGGAUAAAGCCCUUAAAAACAUGACAUGAUGUAAUAAAUUUGGAAUUCAUUAUUUAUUUAAUGAUGUUUUAGUUUCACUUUUAUCAAUCCUUAUUCCAUGUAUUAUACUUUAUGAGCAUUCUUGUCUGCAUUUUGUGCAUUGUACAUGACUUAAUUGCAUUAGGAGUUAUAUAGAAGAUCUAAGUCAUGGGUUUCUUGCAAAUAAAUGACUUGUUCACAACUGAUUCAUGGGUCUAGGCAACCCACUAGAGGUUAUAGUGCACCAUACCACCUUCUAAUUGGAGGGAUGACUAGUCUUAAUUAUCAGGAUGAGUUUCCCAUUGUGAGUGCAUUACUGUGUAUGGUUACACAUUAGACAAAACCUACAGUGAGUCAUGGCUUAAGGCUAUCAAGUAGUCAUGUCCUUACCAACCAACUUCAUUAUGUCGUCUCUCAACUUUAAGAUAAUAUUGAGUUUAUACUAAAGUUAGCAAUGGCUUUGACCUACAGGUGAAAUCAUAAGCUAAUCAUUUGGGUCAUUGUUGAUGGAAGUCGGUAGCAAUAGGUAUUCUCAAUAGAAAUACCAUGAUAUCUCAUGGGAUUUAGACAGUGUGUCCCCUUGAGUAAUCUUAAGAAAGUGUGUUCAUACAAACUAUGACCAUAGUAGUUCCUUAAGUGGAACUUGACAUAGACUCUUUGACAACUAAGACAUGUCAAUUAAAUAUAUAAUUGGACGAUCUGUAACUCAAAGAUAGUAGAGGUAAUCUUUAAGGAUUGAUAACUUUCACUUUAUUAGACUACAGACACUAAUUCAUGGGGAGACUAAACAUAAUGGAUAGCAGGUCAUGGACCCGAGUACGUAAUAUCUCGUUGUUAUUUACAUAGGAUAUUGGAGUUCAAUUGAUUCUCUAUGGUGGAAUGUUGAAUCAACUUUAGAAUUGGAUUUUGAGGAAGUCAGUACUCCUAUGGGUCCCAAUAGUCCACACUCUAAGCUCAUAUAACCUAUUGACACGGAUUAUGAGGGUCGGAUUGGCUUUAGGUUCAUUUUUGUGUAUAAGGGCAUUUUGAUAAUUACACAAGGUUGCAUAAGGGUAAGUGGACAAGGUCUCUAAAUUGAACUAAUUGAUUAAUUAAUAGGCCUUAUUGGGUUAAUUAAUCAAUUAGGACCCAUUUUGAGUUAGAUUAAGUGACCCAAGCCCAUGUGGGCUCAAGUCACUUAAGCAUACUUAGGAACCCUAUAUAUACCCCCUAAGGUUUAGGGUUCCCACAACUUUUGUCCUCCACCUGUUAGGAUAGAGCCCUUAAAAGUAUAACAUGAUGUAAUAAAUUUGGGAUUCUUUAUUUAUUUAAUGAUGUUCUAGUUUCACAUUAUUUAUUUAAUGUGAAGACAUUUGGAACCCAUCUCUCCUUCACAGAUUUAUCCAAAAGUUGCAUGCUCUGACUCAAGUUUCCAUGCAUACACAACCCUCUGAAGUGAUCAUCAACUCCAUUACCUUAGUAGUUUUUUCCAUGUCAAGCAUACAGUUAGUUUUGAGAGCGAGACCCAUUUUCACUAUGAACUCAAUGACUGUGCUUCGAUCAACUAGUUUGGCAUUUUCAUUUCUUUAUGGCAACCAAAUUUGGACUAGAUCUAACACUUGGCAGGCCAAAGGGCAUGAAUCAAAAACAGAGGAAAGCGACGGAAAAAAAAAAAAAAAACAAAGCACAAAUGGUUGAAACAAAACGAACUAAUAAAAGCCACAUUUUAUGUUUCAAUCAACCGACUUAGAUGUAGGUGAGUGAAACUAAAAAGAUUUUAAACAAGAACACAAGUAUUAUUCAGACAUUCUAUAGGAAAGCUACAACAGAGAUAAAUCAUGCUCAAACAUAACCAAAGGAAAUGAGGCAUGAAUCAACUAUAACCAAAUCACAGAAACCAAGAGAUUAACAAUAACAAGUGUGUGUCCUACGAUUAUCCAGACCCAAAACAUGGAAAAUUUUAGAAUCUAAUUGAUAAAUGAAAGAAAAAAAUGGAAAAAAUGGAGAUGAAGAAAAUUAAAUACACAAUUUAAAGGACUGAGAACCUGACCUGAACUCUUCUCUAAGAUUUAGCAAUUUAUGAAUGUAUCUUCAGGCCCCUGUAGACGAAUCCAUGCUUGGUGGUAGUAUGCUUAUUGAUGACAGUCUGGAGAUGUGGAAAUCAAAUGAUUCUGAUGAACUAAAUUUGAUGCGUGAUGAGAUAGAUGACGUGUUAUCUAAGGAUCACAAAGUUCAUCAAUAGAAACUCGUUUGAUGAUGCGUCAAUCUGAUGGAGAGAAUUCGUUGAUAAAAAAUGAUGAAAUGCCAAUUUGAAGAUAGUGACUGCGAUUCAUCUCCGGAGAUGAAUCUAAUGAGAACGUUCAGGAGUCAUAAAUGGAGAGUGUAGGGACCCCUCCCCUUGGGAAACACGUGGCACGCAGCUCAUAGUGACGCGUGGCACGUGUUAUCAGCCGGACCGUCAUUAUCCGGAUUCCCCUAAGGAUAUGCAUGGUGCAGAUAUCCUAUCCGGACCGCCUCAAGGAAAGGCAAACGACGUUUCAUCUUCUCCUAUCCAAGGAAGAGCAAACGACGUUGGCAGAGCGUACACAUCCGGAUAGUCUCCACAACACAUCCGGAUAGUCAACAUGAGCCAUCCGGAUAUAAAUCUUCUGGAUGGUCAAUUAAAGUAAAGCGAGUCUUACACGCAAUCACAACAAGCAGCCAUGGCCCACAUCCCAUCACCUGCAGAAUGAGAAGACAAGAGGAAGUGACAGCAAGUCACUUCCCACGAUCAUUCUGCAUAAUCGCUUCCCACGAUCUCUGACGGCCGCAUCACCUACCAUAGUCUCUGACAGCCAUUCAUAGGAUGAUAGUGCUCCUACUAACACCUAUUGUCAUCAUCACAACAGAAAAGAUCUCCUCACCAUUAAUGAGAGGAACAGUACCCCUGAAGCUGGAUAUAUAUACCUUCGCACGAAGAAGAAAGGGGAUCUCCUGGUAAUCUCUUGAUACCUAGAAAAAGGCCAACUGAUUUAUAUAUCUCUUUCUCACCAUGGCUAACAAAACCAUCGGAGGGUGCGUCCGGACACCCUGUCCGAAUGCCUUUUGCAGGUGCAACCACUGAAUCAAGAACCCCUUGUGUGUUGAGAAUCACGUAUCCAUCCAUAUAGCAGCAACGUGGACCAUCGGAUACGCGAGGUGACAACAGAGAGCUCUAAUGGCGGUGGUGAUUUGCAGCAAUGUCAAUCUCUGGUGGCAGUGACAGCAAGCUCUAAUGGUGGUAAACUACGCCAACAGAGACAAUCUCCAUGAAUUGCACAACAAACUUCAAUGGCGAUCUCCAAUGGUGGUGAUGAAUUCUCCUACAACAAUGAACUCUCAUUCUCCUGUAGAGAUGAACUCUCAGAUGUUGGUGAAUUAUUUUUAUAUAUUUUUUUAAUAAAUUUUAAAUGAAAUAAAAUAAAUAAAUUUUAAAUUUUUAUACAUUUUUUUAAACUCAUUUAACUUAUUUUAAUUUUUCAAUUAUAAAAUUAAAUAAUUUGAAAAUAUAUAAAUUUCUAACUAAUUUUAAUUAUAUUUUAUUUUCUUUUAUAAUUUUCAUAUAUAGUAUAACCAGUACCAAUGUUUUCAAAAUCAGACCGGCGCUUGAACCAGAAAAGUUACCAGUUCAUGAUUUACGGUUCAUUAGUUGAACUGGUGGUCAAACCGCGGUCGAAUCAAUGACAUCAUAAAUAAUAAUUUUUUUUCUUUUUUCUCACUAACUAAUCCCACAUCAGAAAUGGAUAAAAAAUAUGUAGGAAUUGUGGUAUAAAAGGCAAGCUAGAAUCAUUAACUUGCAAGACUAAAAGCUUAUUGGGCUUGAUGACAAACGGGUUGGAUGGGCUCCUCAUGGAAUGAUCCGGUUCUCUUAUGGUAUCAAAACUUUUUUUUUUGGCUUUAAAAUAAAUAAAUAAAUAAACUGUUCGGUUCGCUAAGAAUCGCCCGAUUGGGGCAGUUCACUAGUUCAACCGCUGGUUUUGUUACCGAUCGGACCAACUGGUCCAGUCCGAUUUUUAAAUCAUUAUCAAAUACAAUAAAAUAAUUUUCCUUAACAUUUCUUUUAUUUUUUUAAGUACUUCUCAAGAAUCAAACAUAAUCAUAAGACUAAUCAUAUUUUUUAUUAUAAGAUCAUUCGAAUACAAUGCCCCAAGUGAGAAUCUCAAAACGUUUGUCAAUGUUUUACUAAUAUUAAGAUUUUGAAAAUCUAUACAAUUUCUUUUUCUUUUUUUCUUUUUUUAAUAUUUGGAUGAUAGAGCAUGAGUAUACAAGAAAGGUCAAUGCAAAGAUCAAUGUCUACAAUCUUGAAAUUGCACUUCUAGAGUUGGGCCCUAAAAGAGAACCCAAUAGGGGGGAGGGGUAGCAUAUAAACCUUCCUCAAUGGGCAUGGCAACACCUUGGAGAAGGAAAGUUAUAAGUGAAAGCACUGGAUGAGGAGAUCAUGGCACAAUGCUACUUCAAAAAAAUGAGUACUAUGUUCCCAAUAAUCAAACUUUAUCAUGAAAAUGUUGAUAAUAGCGAGGAUUAUCUUAUUUACAAGUAUAGAGACAAAUAGGCAAAAGGUAAAUAAAUUAUUAAUAGAGCUUAAAAUAAUAAAUUAAGCAAAUAAACAUAUGGUAAGAUCGAAACUCAUUAUCCUUCUACUAAAUAAAAUUCUAAUACCAUAUUGGAUAACUAAAUUUUUUAAGAACUUAAACUUAAGAUUUGGAUCCUUAUGAUUGUAUAUCACAUUUUCUAAUAAUAUAUCAAAUACUUUUCUAGAUUUUGUGUUGACUUGUGAUUACUUCUCUAAAUCAAUUUUUCAGCAUCUUGUAUAUAUGUAUUUGUUAGGAUGAAUCUGUCACGCCCCAAGACCCACUCCAAGGGCGUGACGGUCAUUUCACACCUCAAACCCGAAGGCUUAAAGUAUAAUCUGACCCAAACAAUCAUAUUGUAACUGGAUGUUACCAAUUACCAAAUACCUGUUCAGAGUAGCGGAACAAAAUCUAAAAUCCUCAAAAUUCAAUUUCCAAAUAACUUCCAAAUAUCAAAUGAUCCAAAUGAACAUAACUAACAGUUAAACAAAAUCCAACAUAAAAUCCUAAGUCAAAUCCUAAUGAUGACCAUUCCUCAGCCUAGCCAUCACUCCUCACCCGAACUAAGAGUACCUGAAAAAUUUUCAACAAUUGGGAAUGAGCUCACAGCCCAAUAAGGAAUAUUAAUGCAAUUCAUGGAUCAAAUAUUUUCAUUUCAAAUAGGAGAUAUCAAUUUUUUUUUUUCUCAUCGAAUAUCAGAGUUUCAAAAAUACCAAUAUAUUCAAAAUUCAACCAACCAAUUUCAUAUCAAAUUCAAACACUUUCACAUCAGACUCAAUCAAAUCCAUUCAAUUUUUUCAUUACUCUGGUUAUCAAAUAUCAAAUGCCCAGUUAGGUGGGACUUUUCAAAUGGGUGGCUAGCCUCAAAUUGUUCCUGGUGGACGAAACCAAACACUACUAGUACUAGUAACCUCUAACCAAACCCCUAGAGGCUGGGGUCCAAAUCAAUUACAUUCCCACCAUGAAAUGUAAAGGUCAACUAUUAUAGCCCGUUGACAGGGCCGAAUAGUCAACUAUUAUAUCCCGUUGACAAGGGCCAAACAAACCAGAGUGAUGUUUUUGUUCAAGUAUUCAAAUUUACACAACAUAAUAUCUCCAUAUUUUGUGUCAUAAAUAAAACAAAAUAUUCCAACAUAAUAUUCAGUGCAAAACAAUUUGAUCCAUGCAUGGUAACAAAAUAUCAUUUUCUUUUCCACAAUUCAAAAUAACAUAUAAAAUAAUUUAAUUUUAUAAAUAUUGCAUUAACUUCCCUUACCUCAAAAGAAGUCCUUGAAAGCUUGGGAGAAGAAUAAUUCUGAAAAAAAUAUAAUCUACUCUUCACCUAAUAUAACAUAAGAGAAACAAUUAUUACUAUUUAUUUAUAAUUUAACUAAUUUAUUCCUUAUUUAAAUAAAACUAAUAAAUUCCCAAUUUGUUUCUAAUAACACACUACUAAUUUAAUUAAAUUACAAUUUUAUUUCAUUAUAAAAUUCUAUAUAUAUAUAUAUAUAUAUAUAUAUAUAUAUAUAUAUAUAUAUAUAUAUAUUGCUAAAUCUAUUAUUACUAUUAUCUUAAUUAUUAAUCUGAAACUAAAUAUCAUUAUUUUAUUAAUUACCUAAUUUGAGGCUAAAUCAUUAUUACAAAAAAUAUAUUAUUAUAUAUUUUGCUAAAUCUCUUACAUGUAUGGGGUACACACCAAACAAGUAAAACAAAGCAAAAAAAUUUUUUUUUUCCAUUGCCAUCAUCAUAAUAAUGAAUCAUUAUAUAUAUAUAUAUAAGUCUCCUUCCAUCCGGGCACACGCCCAAAUUUUUUUUUUUUUUAUUUUCCUUCCUUCCAAUGCUGUGCACACGCGUUCUCCUUUUUUUUUUUUUUUUAAUUAACCCUAACCUAAAAUUGAAAUAUUCCAAGGAAUUUUUUUUUUCUAAUAAAACUUAAGAUCUCCCAAAUUCCAAUACUAAAAUCAAAAUAUUAAAUUUUCACUAUUUGAUAUUAAAACGAAUUAAAAAAAAUAAUCUAACCCUAAUCUAGAUUUGGGGUUUUCCAAAAAAAAUAUAUCUAAUGUGUUUGAAAUUAAUCAAUGAAUCUAAAAUAUUAAACUAGGGGUUAGAAUCUUACCUAUAGAGAUUUUUUCUUCAACCCUGAAAUCUGACUCCAACCUUACGUUUUCUGAAAUUCUGCGAAUAGGAACUCUAUUCAGAAAAGAAGGGAAAAAAUAAAAUUUCUAAUUUAUACCUAGGGUAUUUAUUCGUAAAAUUACACUUUUACCCCUCUUCCACUUUAUUAAAUUAAUUAAUUAACUAAUUAAAUUAUUAAUAACAAUUUCCUAAAUUACCCUUAAAAGAAAAUGCCUGGGCGUUACAGAAUCAAUUAUCAAUGAAUGCAAAAAUGCAACUCCUCAUAGAGUCUCUUGCUUAUUUCCUCUACAACUUAAUUAGAAAAACUUAAAAGAACUCCAGAGUGAUUUCACAAAGAAAUAGGAUAAUUAUUUUAUCUUCAAACCUGCAAAAAAGAUAUGGAAACCGUAUCAUUGAAAUAAUUAAAACAGAAAACAAUUGGAAUCAAAGUGCUAUUGCCUUAUUUUAAAAACAAAAAAUAAAUAAAAUAAAUCUUAGGUUUUAUGCAAAACUAAAUAUUAGUUGCCUAAAGCUCCUUAUUUGGAAUACUAGAUGGGUGUCAAGCAUCAUUUCAACUCGGCACCUCCUUCGGUAAAUACCAAAAAUAAUAUUUGUUUUGGGAACAAGACUAGAGUUUUGAGCGGAUAUAAUAUAUUUUAAAAAAAUACACAAAAUAGAUUUCCAAGUAAAAUAAUUCUCAAGCUAGUAUAUUUCAGCUACAUGGGCAUCCAUAUGGUCGUAGAUUUUUUUUUUUUUAAUGUUGGUCUAUGUCAUAAAACUUUAAUUAGUAACUACGAUUUUGAUUUUUUAAAACAUAAAAUGAUAGUUAGAUAUUAUAGUUUUAAAUUUAUUUUUAAAAUCAUAAUCAUCAAUUACGAUUAUAAACUUAAAUUUAAAACCUUAGUUGGUAACUAAUGUUUUGACCGUUUUACAACAAAAUCAAAAUUAUAGUUCACAACUAUGAUCAUGUGAUAUAGAUACAAGUGUCAAUAAAACACUCCAAUUUGAAAAUUAUUUUGAGAGGGGAUCUACUUUGUAGAUUUUUAUUUGUUCAAAUAAAUUAUUUUUCCUCAAGGCUUAGAAAACUAACUUGUUUAGAACUAAAUUCAAUUAUACACUCUCCUAAUUUUUCUUUUUAUAAGAUCAAAUCCACGUUAUCAGUUUUCCACUAGAAUCCUCAUGAUUACUUGUAGAAUUGUUGAGAUGAAAUGGAAGUGUGGUAUGAGAUGCAUGCUUGUUUAAACUUCAGUUUCAAUCUUGGUCAAUGCUGUCCAUUCCCUUAGAUGUGCAGGAUGUGGAACCACUGCUGGAUCCUGUUGUGAGACUUGACCAUCAAUAUCCUUUUGGACUUGUGAAAGCAACCUUCCCCCGUUUUCUUGACGCAACCUGCUACUUCCACGUGAGCAUGCCAAACACGCUUAGGGCCUGUUUGUUGGUGUUUUCAAAUACAUUUUUGGAAACAGUUUUUACUGUUUUCAGAAAUAAAAUUAUGUUUAUUUAUUCUCAAAAAUAAAAAGAAUAAAAAAAAAAUAUUUAGUUCAGUUAAUAAAAAUAAUUUUUAAUAACAAAUAAAACAAAAAAACUUGUUUGGAAAAUAUUAUUGUUGGUUUUGUUUUUUAAAGUUGAGUAUUUUAUUUAACUAAUUGAUAUUGUAAAUAUAUAAAUAAUUUUUCUUCGUAAAAAUAAAAAUGUUCCAUUCUAAACAUUUUUUGCAUCGGUUUUAAUUUUUUUAAACAAAUUAUUACUUUGUAAACAUGUCUAAAUAUGUUUGAUUUCAAUAAUUGAUAAACCAUCUUAUCAAAAUAUCAUAAAUCGGUAAAUAUCAAUAAUUGGAUUUUAUGAAGAUAAAAUUUAUGAUAUCAAAUAAUAAUGCAUUAUACUUGGAAACCGAUGAUUUAUCUUUUCUACUAAUAAUAUAUUUAUGAUAAUUUUUUAUUUAAAAAUAUUUAUAAUUUUAUUUUAUAUUUAAGAAUUAUAUAAAAGAUAAAAAAAUUAAAGUAAAUCAAACUAAUUUAUUUAUAAAAAAUUAUUAAUUUUUAUAAAUUUACAUAUUAUAUAUAUAUAUAUAUAUAUAUAUACGACAGGAAUCCUUGUACUCUUUUCUCUCAUUCUCCUUAUGUUCUCCGUUUAUCUUCCAAGGCCCAAACUUUUAUUCACUAAGGUUGAACCAUUUCUCUCCUCAAAUAUUAACUCACUAAAGUCAAAAUUUAGAUCUAUGAUUGUUGUUAAGAUUCUUGGUUAGGAUUUCAUCUUUUGUGUUAUUGUUUAUGUUUUUGUUUGGUUUUUGAGAAAUCCUAGAAUUUAUGAAAGUUUCUGCUUUGAAAUACAUUAAAAAAAAUCAUAUCAGGAUAAAAUCCCAAAAUAUCCGAAAAAUAUUGAAAUGGAAAUGAAGAAAAAAUAAAUAUAAAUAAAACUUGUUGAUUAAGUUGAAUUUUUUUUAAACCGAAUUUUCAAUUUUCUAAUUUUUCUCAUUUUCCUUGGCAGUGUAAAAAAAAAAAAAAGAUAAGAGCACAUAGAGAACACGACAACAACACAAAAAACAUCAUUUUAAAACCAGGUUUUAGAAAACACAUAAAACACUUGAGAACAAAAAACACUCUUUUAUAAAACAUGAUUUUUGUGUUUUUUGUUCUAAAAAAAGAAAACAAUUUUUGGAAAUACCAACCAAACAAGCCCUUAAUGACUCAUUUUUCUUUUAUUUAUUUAUUUUAUUUUUUUGCUUAUUUGUUUAUUCUCUUGUCUGUUUUUAUUUUUAAAGAAAUAAAAAUAUUUUUCAAAAAAAUAAAAAAAAUAAAAUUAAAGAAUGUUCUCCAAACUAAAUGAAUAUUAUAGAACCCGACCAACAACAUACUAAACAAAAUGUAAAAAUCUAAAAAUAUGUUUGGUAGUAAUUGUUUUUAAUAUUUUUAAUACCUAAAAAUGAAAAAAUUUAGUGUUAAAAAAUGAAAAAUAUUUUAUAAAAUCACUGUAAAACUUAUUCUAAAUUAUUGAACUAAAUACGAAAAUAACAUAUCAUGCACGAAAAUAAGAUGAAGCAAAAAUAACUUGUAAUGUACACCUUGGGAAACACAUGAUAUUUUAGCAUCGUGUAGCAGAUUGCAAAAUCAAAUUUCGUGAGGAAUCAGGUGCCCAUAAAUCUCGUAUCUUCAUAAUGGCAUAUAGAGGAAAGUCAAGGUAAACGAAACCAUCAUAUUCUUCAACUUGCAGCCAACCAAAUAUGUUCAAGUCCAUUCAAUACAGUCCAUAAAAAUUUUAUUUUAUUUUUACAAAUUUUUUUUUCUUUCUAGAAUUCGAAUCUGAGCCUCACGACUAAAACCGAAUACGUACAAAGCAUCUAUUCUAAAAAUAAAAAAAUUAAAUUGAAUUAAAAAUUUUGGAUAUUAUAAAGCAGAAUACGUACAAAUUCUGUUGAAAGGUGAGUCAUAACAGUUAAAAAUUUAUAUAUAAUUUUUAUAUAUAUUUUAAUUAGUUUUCAAUUUUGGAUAUUAUCAAAUAAAAUUUUUAUGUAUAAUUUACUUUAGUCAGUAUUGUCCAACAUAAUUAAAUAAUACCAUGGUGGCUUAGGUUAAUUCCAAAAUGAUGGUAAUGGACUAAUGACAGAAAAAUUAUCAUACAAAAUACCUAGGCAACCAUAGGUGAAAAAAAAAGUAAUAUAAAUUCCAUAUAUUAUUAUUUAAUAUUAAUUUUCAGUCACCAUCAUAUGAUUUUUCAUAAAAUAAAAUAAAAAGGUAAAAAGUAAAUGUUCAUUAUGUUUGUUAGUAUAGUAUCAAAAGAAACUUAUUAAAUUUUUAGAAAUAUAAUUUAGAUUUAAAAGUAAUUGUAAAAAUUUGAAAAUAAGACUUAUAUUAUGAAAACAUUAAAAAAUAUUAUAAUUUAACCACAAAGAUAAUGAGUAUGACUAAGAUCGACGAUUAGGAAAAGAGAUUUUAUAAAAAAAAAAAUAUAUAUUUUGAAGUAUCUUACAUGGAUCAUUGAUUUUUAUUCAAAUUUUAAACAAAUUCAUACUAAUUUGGUUCUGGUUCUACUUGUUUCUGGUUCAAAAUGAGUUCAACGACACCUGGCCAACGGAGAUUGGUAAUUUGGCGAAUCUUGAACAAUUGGCCAUGGCCUAUAAUGACAAAUUCCGGCCUUCAGCCCUUCCAAAAGAGUUUGGCGCAUUGAAGAAGCUGAAAUAUCUGUGGAUGACGGAGGCGAAUUUGAUUGGCGAAAUACCGGAGAGCUUCAACAAUCUAUCGAGUCUGGAACUCUUGGACCUCUCAGUCAACAAAUUGGAAGGUACGAUCCCGGGAGGCAUGCUUACGUUGAAGAAUUUGAACUAUUUGCAUUUAUUCAUUAAUAGAUUGUCCGGCUACAUUCCUUCAUCCAUAGAAGCUCUCAACUUGAAACAAAUUGAUCUUUCCGACAACCAUUUGACGGGGUCCAUACCAGCGGGUUUCGGGAAGCUACAAAAUUUGACGGGUUUGAAUCUUUUCUGGAAUCAGUUGUCAGGAGAGAUACCAGCAAAUAUAAGCCUCAUUCCUACACUGGAAACCUUCAAAGUUUUUAGCAAUCAAUUGAGUGGAGUUUUGCCCCCAGCAUUUGGCCUUCAUUCGGAGCUCAAAUUCUUUGAGAUUUUUGAGAAUAAACUAAGUGGGGAAUUACCUCAACAUUUAUGCGCUAGGGGGGCUUUGCUUGGAGUGGUCGCUUCCAACAACAAUCUCAGCGGGGAAGUGCCCACGUCCCUCGGGAAUUGCACAAGUUUGCUCACCAUUCAGCUUUCCAACAAUCGUUUUUCAGGCGGGAUUCCUUCCGGCAUCUGGACAUCCCCGAACAUGGUAUCGGUGAUGUUAGAUGGAAAUUCAUUCUCAGGGACACUUCCAAGUAAAUUGGCAAGGAAUUUGUCUAGAGUGGAGAUCGCUAACAACAAGUUUUAUGGUCCAAUUCCUGCUGAAAUCUCUUCCUGGGUGAACAUCUCUGUGCUCAAUGCCAGCAACAAUAUGUUGUCUGGAAAAAUUCCAGUGGAAUUGACCAGUCUUUGGAACAUCACUGUUCUGUUGCUUGAUGGGAAUCAAUUCUCGGGUGAACUUCCAUCCCAGAUCAUCUCAUGGAAGUCUUUCAAUAAGUUAAAUCUCUCAAGAAACAAACUUUCUGGCCUAAUUCCCAAGGCAUUAGGUUCUUUAACCAGCCUUAGUUACCUCGACCUGUCAGAAAACCAGUUCUCAGGUCAAAUUCCUCCUGAACUUGGCCAUUUGAACCUUAUUAUCCUCCAUCUUUCGUCCAACCAACUCUCUGGGAUGGUCCCCAUUGAGUUUCAACAUGAAGCAUAUGAAGACAGUUUCUUGAACAAUCCCAAGUUGUGUGUCAAUGUUCCCACUCUGAACCUCCCUAGAUGUGAUGCCAAACCCGUCAACUCCGACAAAUUGUCAACCAAAUAUCUCGUUAUGAUCCUAAUUUUCGCUCUAGCUGGUGCUUUCGUCACCCUGUCCAGGGUUCAUAUCUAUCAUAGGAAGAAUCACAGUCAGGACCAUACAGCUUGGAAAUUUACUCCAUACCAUAAACUAGAUCUCGAUGAAUACAACAUAUUGUCCAGUUUGAUAGAAAAUAAUCUGAUCGGAUGUGGUGGGUCAGGGAAAGUAUACCGAAUUGCUAAUAACCGUUCUGGUGAACUCUUAGCGGUUAAAAUGAUUUCUAAUAACAAGAGAUUGGAUCAAAAGCUUCAGAAAAAAUUCAAAACAGAAGUCGAGAUAUUGAGCACCAUACGCCAUGCCAAUAUAGUGAAGUUGUUGUGCUGCAUAUCAAAUGAAACCUCAAGUCUUCUUGUUUACGAGUACAUGGAGAAGCAGAGUUUGGAUAGAUGGCUUCAUAGGAAGAAGCAGAGAACAUCGUCCAUGACAAGUUCAGUUCAUAACUUCGUCUUGGAUUGGCCAACAAGGUUGCAGAUUGCCAUUGGAGCUGCAAAAGGCCUAUGCCACAUGCAUGAAAACUGCUCUGCCCCGAUCAUACACCGAGAUGUGAAGUCCAACAACAUCUUGCUAGAUGCUGAGUUCAACGCGAAAAUUGCGGAUUUUGGAUUAGCCAAGAUGUUGGUCAAGCAAGGAGAGCCCGACACCAUGUCAGGAAUUGCAGGCUCUUACGGAUAUAUUGCCCCUGGUAAGACCAUCAAGGCCCUCCUUUCCACAUGUUUUCAUUUCCAUAAUUUAUCUAUAAUUUUUAUCAUACAAUUCUUGUAUACUUGGAUGAUAGAGUAUGCUUAUACAACAAAGGUGAACGAGAAGAUCGAUGUAUAUAGCUUUGGAGUAGUCCUGCUUGAGCUAGUGACGGGGAGAGAACCCAACAGCGGGGACGAGCACAUGUGCCUUGUAGAAUGGGCAUGGGAUCAGUUCAAAGAAGGGAAAACCAUUGAGGAAGUGAUGGAUGAGGAGAUCAAGGAACAAUGUGAAAGAGCACAAGUGACCACUCUCUUCAGUCUAGGCCUCAUGUGCACUACCACAUUACCAUCCACUAGGCCAACAAUGAAAGAGGUUUUGGAAAUUCUUCGACAAUGCAGUCCUUAGGAGGGCCAUGGUAGAAAGAAAAAGGACCAUGAAGUUGCACCUCCACUUUGAAAUGACACUUACCCCACCACUUACAAGUUAUGAGGAUAAAGCCCUUAAAAACAUGAUAUGAUGUAAUAAAUUUGAAAGUCAUUAUUUAUUUAAUGAUGUUUCGAUUUCACUUUUAUCUAUCCUUCUUUCAUGUAUUAUACUUUAUGAGCAUUCUUGCCUGCAUCUUUUGCAUUGCACUAGCUUAGGUGCAUUAAGAGUUGCACAGAAGAUCUAUGUCAUGGGUUCCUUGCAAAUAUAUGACUUGUUCACAAUUAGUUCAUGGGUCUAGGAAGCCCAUUAGAGGUUGUAAUAAACCACUUCCUAAUUGGAAGAAUGGCUAGUCUUAGCUAUUGGAAUGAGUUUCCAAUGGUAAGUGCAUUAGUGUGUAUGGUUACAUAUUGGACAUGACCUAUGGUGAAUCAUGACUUAAGGUUAUCAAGCAGUCAUGACCUUAUCAAACUGCUUCAUUAUGUUGUUUCUCAACCUUGAGAGAAUAUCGAGCUUGUACUAAAGUUAGCAAUGACUUUGACAUAUGGGUGAGAUCGUAAGUUGAUCAUAUAUUUCCUAUGGAUUGAGUCACUGUUGAUGGAAGAUGGUAGUGAUAGGUAUUUUCAAUAAAAACACCAUGAUGUCUCUUGGGAUUAAGACAACGUGCCCCUUUUAGUGAUCCUAAAGAGGUGUGUUCAUAGAAACUAUGGUCAUAAUAGUUCCUUAAGUAAAACUCAACAUAGGCUCUUUGAGAGCUAAGACAUGUCAAUUGAAUACACAAUAUGAGGAUUUGUAACUCAAUGAUGGUAGAGGUAGUCUUGAAAGACUAAUAACUUUCACUUUGUUAGACUACGAAUAUCAGUUCAUGGGAAGACUAAACACAAUAAAUAGCAAGUCACAAACUUGAACAUUUGGUAUCUCAUUAUUAUUUUCAAUAAAAUAACAAUGAGAUGGUAAGUUGAUCAUAUAUACCUUAUGGAUUAGGUCAUUGUUAAUGGAAGAUGGUAGCAAUAGGUAUUUUCAAUAAAAGUACCAUAAUAUCUCUUGGGAUUAAGACAGUGUGCCCCCUUGGAUGAUCCUAAAGAAGUGUGUUCAUGGAAACUAUGGUCAUAGUAAUUCCUUAAGUAAAACUCAACAUAAGCUCUUUGAGAGCUAAGACAUGUCAAUUGAAUACACAAUAGGAGGAUUUAUAACUCAAGGAUGAUAGAGGUAGCCUUGAAAGACUAAUAACUUUCACUUUGUUAGACUACAAAUAUCAGUUCAUGGGGAGACUAAACACAAUAAAUAGCAAGUCAUAAGCUCGAGCAUUUGGUAUCUAGUUGUUAUUUACAUAGGAUACCGAAGUUCAAUUGAUUCUCUGUAGUGGGAUGUUCAAUCAACUUUAGAAUUGGAUUUUGAGAGAGUCGGUAUUCCUACGGGUCCCAAUGGUCCUUGCUCUAAGCUUAUAUACUUUGUUGGCAUGGGUUAUAAGAGUCGAAUUGGCUCUAGGUUUACUUUUGUACAUAAGGGCAUUUUGAUAAUUACGCAAGGUUACACAAAGGUAAGUGAACAAGGUUUUUAGAUUGGGUUAAUUGAUUAAUUAGUAGGCCUUGUUUGAUUAAUUAAUCAAUUAAGACUUUUUUUGGGCUAUAUUAAGUGACCUAAGCCCUUAGUGGGCUCAAGUCACUUAAACCUAAUAGAAAACCCUAUAAAUACCCCCUUAAGGGUUAGAGUUUAUAUAGUUUUUCUAAAGAGCCAUCUUCUAUCUCCAGAGAGAGAAAGAAAGAGAAAGAGUCAUAGCAUCCACCUCCCUUCUAUCUCCACUAGAAGUGUGGCAAGAUCAAGGUUCAAGUCAUUGGGAGGAAGACUUUGGAUUUACAAGACUUCUGCGAUUUCGUUCUUCAUUUUCACCACGUGGAUUUGAUUCAAGAACAUCCGAAUUUAAGGUAUGGUUUUCAUUAGCACUUUCUGAAUCCCUUUAAAGUUUAAAAAUGUUAUUUUUCCUUUGUGCAUAGGAUUAAUUUAGAAAAUGCUUAGAAUAGUUAUGCAUGUUCCAAACCUGAUAUGAGCUUAGGAAAUGGAGAGAUCCUAGUUUUUUCCCUCAAUGUUUGUGCUCCAAAGUGUUGAGAUAGUUUAGAGGGUGACAUGAUGAUUGACAUAAUACCUUAUGUGGAUAACCUAGUGAAUCCCUUCUCCAAGACAUUGAUAGGGAGAGUCUUUGUUAGUCACAUGGAUAACAUAGGUUUCAGAUGAGUAUUUGGCAUGCUUUAAAGGCAUGAUGCUUUGAGGGCUAAUGGGAGAAUAUUAGGAUAUAGCCCUUAAAAGCAUGACAUGAUGUAAAAAAUUUGGAAUUCAUUAUUUAUUUAAUGAUGUUCUAGUUUCACUUUUAUCAAUCUUUAUUCCAUGUAUUAUACUUUAUGAGCAUUCUUGUCUGCAUUUUUUGCAUUGUACAUGACUUAAGUGCAUUAGGAGUUACAUAGAAGAUCUAAGUCAUGGGUUUCUUGCAAAUAAAUGACUUGUUCACAACUGAUUCAUGGGUCUAGGCAACUGAUUACUACUCAAAAAGUGUUAUUUGAUAGCUUGUAAUUAACUCUUUUAAACACUUUUGAGUAGUAGUUAUCACUUUUUAACCCAAUUAACAUAUUAAGGACCCUUACAAUCAAUUCUAAUCAAAUUGUGUUAAGUUUUGGUGUUUUGAUAGCUUUUUUAUCACCAAAGCAAUCCGAGAUUGAGGAGAGUUCUUUGGAAUCCAUGGCAAAGAUGUCCGGACAGGGCGUCCGGACACACCAUCGGAGGGCGGCGGAAUAUGGGUUGUGGCAGGCUGUCGGAAUGACGUAGCAAGGUUUGCUCACUUUAGUCAAUGUUUUCCAUCCGGACAACAUAUCCGGAUAGGAUAUGCUAUCGUCCGGGGUGUGAUGUGCACGAGUGUCGUGUGCUUCUCCCUAAAGGAGUCCGGAUAGCAUGGCGGCGCGUGUCCUCUUGGGGAAUCUGAAUGGAGUUGCACCGGAUAGCAAUGCGCGCUCCGUGUCAUCAGGGGAAGGGGUCCCUACACCUUGUACACGCAGAUGGUCCCCCUUGCAACGCGCGGAUAUCUCACUCCCAAAAUUCUGUCUGGUCAGACAUGUCUGGAUCCUCUGAUCGGAUAUUUCACAUCUGGAUAUCUCACAACCGGAUGGGAGAGGAGGACGUUUCAACUUCCCCGGUCAGACAUGUCCGGAUCCUCUGAUAGCGCCUACCCGGAGAGUUUUUCUCUCAGUAUACAGUGCCGCAGUGUUCUCCUGAAGCUUCCUGAUAUUUCCAACCGACAUCUUGAAAUAUUUUGCUUUAGAUAUUUGAUGUCUAAAUCCCCAAACUCUCCUUGUAACCCACCUAUCAUAGGAUUUCUUAGUCUUUAAGUAAGAAAAAUGGUGAAUAACCUCUGAUAUAUAUAGUUUGUAAUUUUCUUUAUAAGAAAUUAUGAUGUAAUCGGCGGAAGAAAGAAAUAUAUUUCACAGAGCACUUGCUCUGAUUUUCAUAUAUAUUUUUGUUUUCUCAUUCUUUUUCUUACUAGCCAAACAAGCUCUGAGGAAGUUUCCUCAGAGAAUGAGUGGCUAGACUUUUAGUUCCUUGGAGCUAAGGUUGCCGGGAAAGGUUUCAAGUGCAAGAAUUUAUAGCUUUGUGGUUUCGGCCAUUAAUGAAGAGAAAGUAUGAUCCUUUAAUGAUUUCUAUGUUUUUUAGUUAACUUAAAACACCUUCAAUUCACUUGAGCCAACACUUGGUAAGGCAAGUGAUCUCCGUCCAUGGGGAUGCACUAGUUUGCCUCUUGCGAGCUUUUGAGAAGUGACUUGAAAGUAGGAUUUUCUAUAAUUGCCAACACUUGGUAAGCUUUUGGACUCCAAGGAGACAUCCAUUAGUUAUCUUUUGCGAGCUUGAGAAAGGAAGUCCAAAGUUAAUGAUCACCUUGAAUGGCAAAUGCUAGAUGAGAGGCACGAGCCAUUGCAAGUUGCAUCAGUGAGAAGAAACUAGAGCUGAAAUCCAUUUAAAGGAUACAUCUGUACAACACCGGUUAGAGAAUUGACUAUAUGUAAAUUCUCUAAUGCGAGGAAAUGAACCAAAUGACCGAAGCUCUAUUUUUGCAUAAGGAACCUCCCUUGUGAACCUAAACCUUCAAGGAAUGUUUUUUUUCAUAAGUCAUUUACAUUACUUUCUUUUUAGUUAGCUUUAAACAAAAUCUCAUUUAAACAAAGUUUAUGUUUUAUUUCUUAAGCUAACCUUGAAAUGAAAAUAAGAUGAAGCAAAAAUAACUUGUAAUGUACACCUUGGGAAACACAUGAUAUUUUAGCAUCGUGUAGCAGAUUGCAAAAUCAAAUUUCGUGAGGAAUCAGGUGCCCAUAAAUCUGGUAUCUUCAUAAUGGCAUAUAGAGGAAAGUCAAGGUAAACGAAACCAUCAUAUUCUUCAACUUGCAGCCAACCAAAUAUGUUCAAGUCCAUUCAAUACAGUCCAUAAAAAAAAAAUUUUUUUUCUUUCUAGAAUUCGAAUCUGAGCCUCACGACUAAAACCGAAUACGUACAAAGCAUCUAUUCUAAAAAUAAAAAAAUUAAAUUGAAUUAAAAAUUUUGGAUAUUAUAAAGCAGAAUACGUACAAAUUCUGUUGAAAGGUGAGUCAUAACAGUUAAAAAUUUAUAUAUAAUUUUUAUAUAUAUUUUAAUUAGUUGUCAAUUUUGGAUAUUAUCAAAUAAAAUUUUUUAUGUAUAAUUUACUUUAGUCAGUAUUGUCCAACAUAAUUAAAUAAUACCAUGGUGGCUUAGGUUAAUUCUAAAAUGAUGGGAAAUAAAUCAAAAUGGUAAUGGACUAAUGACAGAAAAAUUAUCAUACAAAAUACCUAGGCAAACCAUAGGUGAAAAAAAAAUGUAAUAUAAAUUCCAUAUAUUAUUAUUUAAUAUCAAUUUUCAGUCACCAUCAUAUGAUUUUUCAUAAAAUAAAAUAAAAAGGUAAAAAGUAAAUGUUCAUUAUGUUUGUUAGUAUAGUAUCAAAAGAAACUUAUUAAAUUUUUAGAAAUAUAAUUUAGAUUUAAAAGUAAUUGUAAAAAUUUGAAAAUAAGACUCAUAUUAUGAAAACAUUAAAAAAUAUUAUAAUUUAACCACAAAGAUAAUGAGUAUGACUAAGAUUGACGAUUAUUUUGAAGUAUCUUACAUGGAUAGUUGAUUUUUAUUCAAAUUUUAAACAAAUUCAUACUAAAAACCCAUAACGCUUGCUAAAUCUAAUCUUGUAACCUGGUGUUUUGUUCUUAGAAUAUAUAUAUAUAUAUAUAUAUAUAUAUAUAUAUAUAUAUAUUUCCGCUGCUCCAAGUAAGCUGGAGAUGAAAGGGACCACCAAUCACGAUCAAUGGUUAGAUCAAAAUUAGCUUAUCUGUGUUACACACGACUCCUGGCUCCUUCGUAAUUAAUCCCAACACAUAGGCCAUUUUGUAAAAUUCAGUAAAUAAAUUCUGACAGCCAACCAGAUUUUGAAAAUGAACCGUCCCAACGCCACAAAAAUGCCGAAAGUAAACUUUUUAUUUGCCAAAAUUCCAUUCCCCGCUCUGUUUCUCCUCCUCGUCCUCUCCUUACCCUUUCAAGUAAUUUUCGAAAAUCUGGACGAUGAACUAUCAAUCCUACUAGACGUUAAACAACAACUGGGCAAUCCCUUGUCACUCCAAUCUUGGAAUUCCUCAUCCUCACCCUGUGAUUGGCCGGAAAUUACAUGCAUCGACAAUAUCGUCACUGAAAUUUCACUCAGCGACAAGACCAUCACAAAGAAAAUUCCGGCUAGAAUUUGUGACCUCAAGAACCUUAUCGUACUUGACGUCUCCAACAAUUACAUUCCAGGCAAGUUCUCGGAUAUUCUAAAUUGUUCUAAGCUGGAGCAUCUCCUCUUGAAGCAAAACUUCUUCGUGGGUCCAAUUCCAACUGACAUUGAUUGACUUUCACGUCUCCGGUACCUAGACCUCACAGCAAACAACUUCUCUGGAGAUAUUCCCACAGCAAUUGGGAGGCUACGGGAGCUGUUCUACUUGUUUCUGGUUCAAAAUGAGUUCAACGGCACCUGACCAAUGGAGAUUGGUAAUUUGGCGAAUCUUGAACAAUUGGCCAUGGCCUAUAAUGAAAAAUUCCAGCCUUCAGCCCUUCCAAAAGAGUUUGGCGCAUUGAAGAAGCUGAAAUAUUUGUGGAUGACGGAGGCGAAUUUGAUUGGCGAAAUACCGGAGAGCUUCAACAAUCUAUCGAAUCUGGAACUCUUGGACCUCUCAGUCAACAAAUUGGAAGGUACGAUCCCGGGAGGCAUGCUUACGUUGAAGAAUUUGAACUAUUUGCAUUUAUUCAUUAAUAGAUUGUCCGGCCACAUUCCUUCAUCCAUAGAAGCUCUCAACUUGAAACAAAUUGAUCUUUCCGACAACCAUUUGAUGGUCCAUACCAGCGGGUUUCGGGAAGCUACAAAAUUUGACGGGUUUGAAUCUUUUCUGGAAUCAGUUGUCAGGAGAGAUACCAGCAAAUAUAAGCCUCAUUCCUACACUAGAAACCUUCAAAGUUUUUAGCAAUCAAUUGAGUGGAGUUUUGCCCCCAGCAUUUGGCCUUCAUUCGGAGCUCAAAUUCUUUGAGAUUUUUUAGAAUAAACUAAGCGGGGAAUUACCUCAACAUUUAUACGCUAGGGGGGCUUUGCUUGGAGUGGUCGCUUCCAACAACAAUCUCAGCGGGGAAGUGCCCACGUCCCUCGGGAAUUGCACAAGUUUACUCACCAUUCAGUUUUCCAACAAUCGUUUUUCAGGUGGGAUUCCUUCCGGAAUCUGGACAUCCCCGAACAUGGUAUCGGUGAUGUUAGAUGGAAAUUCAUUCUCAGGGACACUUCCAAGUAAAUUGGCAAGGAAUUUGUCUAGAGUGGAGAUCGCUAACAACAAGUUUUAUGGUCCAAUUCCUGCUGAAAUCUCUUCCUGGAUGAACAUCUCUGUGCUCAAUGCCAACAACAAUAUGUUGUCUGGAAAAAUUCCAGUGGAAUUGACUAGUCUUUGGAACAUCACUGUUCUGUUGCUUGAUGAGAAUCAAUUCUCGGGUGAACUUCCAUCCCAGAUCAUCUCAUGGAAGUCGCUCAAUAAGUUAAAUCUCUCAAGAAACAAACUUUCUGGCCUAAUUCCCAAGGCAUUAGGUUCUUUAACUAGCCUUAGUUACCUCGACCUGUCAGAAAACCAGUUCUCAGGUCAAAUUCCUCCUAAACUUGGCCAUUUGAACCUUAUUAUCCUCCAUCUUUCGUCCAACCAACUCUCUGGGAUGGUCCCCAUUGAGUUUCAACAUGAAGCAUAUGAAGACAGUUUCUUGAACAAUCCCAAGUUGUGUGUCAAUGUUCCCACUUUGAACCUCCCUAGAUGUGAUGCCAAACCCGUCAACUCCGACAAAUUGUCAACCAAAUAUCUCGUUAUGAUCCUAAUUUUCGCUCUAGCUGGUGCUUUCGUCUCCUUGUCCAAGGUUCAUAUCUAUCAUAGGAAGAAUCACAGUCAGGACCAUACAGCUUGGAAAUUUACUCCAUACCAUAAACUAGAUCUCGAUGAAUACAACAUAUUGUCCAGUUUGACAGAAAAUAAUCUGAUCGUAUGUGGUGGGUCAGGGAAAGUAUACCGAGUUGCUAAUAACCGUUCUGGUGAACUCUUAGCGGUUAAAAUGAUUUGUAAUAACAGGAGAUUGGAUCAAAAGCUUCAGAAACAAUUCGAAACAGAAGUCGAGAUAUUGAGCACCAUGCGCCAUGCCAAUAUAGUGAAGUUGUUGUGCUGCAUAUCAAAUGAAACCUCUAGUCUUCUUGUUUACGAGUACAUGGAGAAGCAGAGUUUGGAUAGAUGGCUUCAUGGGAAGAAGCAGAGAACAUCGUCCAUGACAAGUUCAGUUCAUAACUUCGUCUUGGAUUGGCCAACAAGGUUGCAGAUUGCCAUUGGAGCUGCAAAAGGCCUAUGCCACAUGCAUGAAUACUGUUCUGUCCCAAUCAUACAUCGAGAUGUGAAGUCCAGCAACAUCUUGCUAGAUGCCGAGUUCAACGCGAAAAUUGCGGAUUUUGGAUUGGCUGAGACGUUGGUCAAGCAAGGAGAACCCAACACCAUGUCAAGAAUUGCAGGCUCUUACGGGUAUAUUGCCCCUGGUAUGACCAUCAAGGCCCUCCUUUCCACAUGUUUUCAUUUCCAUAAUUUAUCGAUAAUUUGUAUCAUACCAUUCUUGUAUACUUGGAUGAUAGAGUAUGCUUAUACAACAAAGGUGAACAAGAAGAUCGAUGUAUAUAGCUUUGGAGUAGUCUUGCUUGAGCUUGUGACAGGUAGAGAACCCAACAAUGGGGACGAGCACAUGUGCCUUGCGGAAUGAGCAUGGAAUCAGUUCAGAGAAGGGAAAACCAUUGAGGAAGUGGUAGACGAGGAGAUCAAGGAACAAUGUGAUAGAGCACAAGUGGCCACUCUCUUCAAACUAGGCAUUAAGUGCACUAACAAAUUACCAUCCAAUAGGCCCACAAUGAAAGAGGUUUUGAAAAUUCUUCAAUAGUGCAGUCCUCAGGAGGGCCAUGGAAGAAAUAAAAAGGACCAUGAAGUUGCACCUCCACUUUGAAAUGACACUUAUCCCACCACUUACAAGUUGUGAGGAUAAAGCCCUUAAAAACAUGAUAUGAUGUAAUAAAUUUGGAAGUCAUUAUUUAUUUAAUGAUGUUCCGAUUUCACUUUUAUCUAUCCUUAUUCCAUGUAUUAUACUUUAUGAGUAUUCUCGCCUGCAUCUUUUGCAUUGCACUAGCUUAGGUGCAUUAAGAGUUGCAUAGAAGAUCUAUGUCAUGGGUUCCUUGCAAAUAUAUUACUUGUUCACAACCAGUUCAUGGGUCUAGGAAGCCCAUUAAAUGGCUUCAUGGGAAGAAGCAGAGAACAUCGUCCAUGACAAGUUCAGUUCAUAACUUCGUCUUGGAUUGGCCAACAAGGUUGCAGAUUGCCAUUGGAGCUGCAAAAGGCCUAUGCCACAUGCAUGAAAACUGCUCUGCCCCGAUCAUACACCGAGAUGUGAAGUCCAGCAACAUCUUGCUAGAUGCCGAGUUCAACGCGAAAAUUGCGGAUUUUGGAUUGGCCAAGAUGUUGGUCAAGCAAGGAGAGCCCGACACCAUGUCAGGAAUUGCAGGCUCUUACGGAUAUAUUGCCCCUGGUAAGACCAUCAAGGCCCUCAUUUCCACAUGUUUUCAUUUCCAUAAUUUAUCUAUAAUUUUUAUCAUACAAUUCUUGUAUACUUGGAUGAUAGAGUAUGCUUAUACAACAAAGGUGAACGAGAAGAUCGAUGUAUAUAGCUUUGGAGUAGUCCUGCUUGAGCUAGUGACGGGGAGA
rnacentral:lncRNA from 1 species